rnacentral:rRNA from 1 species
GAAACGACUGCUAAUACCGCAUGACGCAUAGAGGUCGCAUGAUCUUUAUGCCAAAGAUUUAUCGCUUCAAGAUGGCCUCGCGUCUGAUUAGCUGGUUGGCGGGGUAACGGCCCACCAAGGCGACGAUCAGUAGCCGGACUGAGAGGUUGAACGGCCACAUUGGGACCGAGAUACGGCCCAGACUCCUACGGGAGGCAGCAGUGGGGAAUAUUGGGCAAUGGGCGCAAGCCUGACCCAGCAACGCCGCGUGAAGGAAGAAGGCUUUCGGGUUGUAAACUUCUUUUAAGAGGGAAGAGCAGAAGACGGUACCUCUAGAAUAAGCCACGGCUAACUACGUGCCAGCAGCCGCGGUAAUACGUAGGUGGCAAGCGUUGUCCGGAUUUACUGGGUGUAAAGGGCGUGCAGCCGGGUCUGCAAGUCAGAUGUGAAAUCCAUGGGCUCAACCCAUGAACUGCAUUUGAAACUGUGGAUCUUGAGUGUCGGAGGGGCAAUCGGAAUUCCUAGUGUAGCGGUGAAAUGCGUAGAUAUUAGGAGGAACACCAGUGGCGAAGGCGGAUUGCUGGACGAUAACUGACGGUGAGGCGCGAAAGUGUGGGGAGCAAACAGGAUUAGAUACCCUGGUAGUCCACACUGUAAACGAUGAAUGCUAGGUGUGCGGGGACUGACCCCCUGCGUGCC